rnacentral:rRNA from 1 species
UACGUAGGUGGCAAGCGUUGUCCGGAUUUACUGGGUGUAAAGGGCGUGUAGGCGGAGCUGCAAGUCAGAUGUGAAAUCCCGGGGCUCAACCCCGGAACUGCAUUUGAAACUGUAGCCCUUGAGUAUCGGAGAGGCAGGCGGAAUUCCUAGUGUAGCGGUGAAAUGCGUAGAUAUUAGGAGGAACACCAGUAGCGAAGGCGGCCUGCUGGACGACAACUGACGCUGAGGCGCGAAAGCGUGGGGAGCAAACAGG